UACGAAGGGGGCUAGCGUUGCUCGGAAUCACUGGGCGUAAAGGGCGCGUAGGCGGCCAUUCAAGUCGGAGGUGAAAGCCCAGGGCUCAACCCUGGAAUUGCCUUCGAUACUGUAGAGCUUGAGACCGGAAGAGGUAAGUGGAACUGCGAGUGUAGAGGUGAAAUUCGUAGAUAUUCGCAAGAACACCAGUGGCGAAAGGCGGCUUACUGGUCCGGUUCUGACGCUGAGGCGCGAAAGCGUGGGGAGCAACGGG
rnacentral:rRNA from 1 species